GGCUGUAGCUCAGUGGCAGAGCACUUGCCUAGCAUGCAUAAGGCACUGAGUUUGAUCCUCAGCAUCA
rnacentral:tRNA from 1 species